rnacentral:misc_RNA from 1 species
GUAUUUUCGAUUAUUACAUCAAAGAUGACAACAUACUCGACUUGUAUUCGCGUAUAUAAAAAAGGGACAGUUCACAGGUGUAAAUGAAAUGGUUGUCGAGCGCACUGAAGCGACUACGACGAAAGUUCAAUAAUGAUCCUUCCGCAGGUUCACCUACGGAAA